rnacentral:rRNA from 1 species
GAUCCUGGCUCAGGAUGAACGCUAGCGACAGGCUUAACACAUGCAAGUCGAGGGGCAUCAUGAGGUAGCAAUACCUUGAUGGCGACCGGCGCACGGGUGAGUAACGCGUAUGCAACCUGCCUGAUACCGGGUAUAGCCCAUGGAAACGUGGAUUAACACCCAUAGUACUUUAUCCUGCAUGGGAUGUGAGUUAAAUGUUCAAGGUAUCGGAUGGGCAGUGCGUCCUAUUAG